rnacentral:pre_miRNA from 10 species
AAAAUGGCAUGGCAGGCCUUCUCUUUCCAGUUCUUCCCAGAAUUGGGAAAAGCUGGGUUGACAGGGUAAAAAAAAAGAAAAA